ACUCCUACGGGAGGCAGCAGUGGGGGAAUCUUGGACAAUGGGGGCGAAACCCUGAUCCAGCCAUGCCGCGUGAGUGAUGAAGGCCUUAGGGUCGUAAAGCUCUUUCGCCUGUGAAGAUAAUGACGGUAGCAGGUAAAGAAACCCCGGCUAACUCCGUGCCAGCAGCCGCGGUAAUACGGAGGGGGUUAGCGUUGUUCGGAAUUACUGGGGCGUAAAGCGCACGUAGGCGGAUCGGAAAGUUGGGGGUGAAAUCCCGGGGCUCAACCCCGGAACUGCCUCCAAAACUAUCGGUCUAGAGUUCGAGAGAGGUGAGUGGAAUUCCGAGUGUAGAGGUGAAAUUCGUAGAUAUUCGGAGGAACACCAGUGGCGAAGGCGGCUCACUGGCUCGAUACUGACGCUGAGGUGCGAAAGUGUGGGGAGCAAACAGGAUUAGAUACCCUGGUAGGACAGUG
rnacentral:rRNA from 1 species